rnacentral:rRNA from 1 species
AUACGGAGGGUGCAAGCGUUACUCGGAAUCACUGGGCGUAAAGCGCGCGCAGGCGGUUUGAUAAGUUGGAUGUGAAAUCCUAUGGCUCAACCAUAGAACUGCAUCCAAAACUGUCAAACUAGAGUCUGGGAGAGGAAGAUGGAAUUAGUUGUGUAGGGGUAAAAUCCGUAGAGAUAACUAGGAAUACCAAAAGCGAAGGCGAUCUUCUGGAACAGUACUGACGCUGAGGCGCGAAAGCGUGGGGAGCAAACAGGAUUAGAUACCCGGGUAGUCC